CAACAUAUUGCAGAAUUGGCUUUAAAUCUUAGAUUAUAGGUAAAAUAAUAAUUUAUCAAUGAUUUUUGUUUGUUUUGUUUUAGGUACCAGGGAUCGAACUCGGGACCUUGCACUUGCAAAGCAGGUGGCAGAACCACUGAGCUAAAUCCCAGGCCUAUCAAUGAUUUUUGGAUAAUCCCUAAAAAUAAACUCCCAGGAAUUAUAUACAAGUAUAUCUUGGCUUGAAUGGAAUUCUUGUUAGAAAAUAGAAUUUUAAAAGAAAGUGGAAUAGCUCAGAGGUCAUUUGGAAUGCUAGCACAAAGUCUCCAUCAGAAGACUCCAUUCAGAAUUCAACUUGGGCAAUAGAAAGCUGAUCCCUGAGCCAGGUGUGGUAGAGCAUGUCUGUAAUUCCAGCCCUCGGGAGGCUGAGGCAGAAGGAUCGCUGUGAGUUCAAGACCAGCCUGGGCUACACAGUGAGUUCCAGGUCAGUCCCAACU
rnacentral:lncRNA from 1 species